rnacentral:rRNA from 1 species
CAUCUUUGAUUGCCAGCAGGUUAAGCUGGGCACUCUAGAGAAACUGCCCGUGAUAAGCGGGAGGAAGGUGUGGAUGACGUCAAGUCCUCAUGGCCCUUACGGGUUGGGCUACACACGUGCUACAAUGGCAGUGACAAUGGGUUAAUCCCAAAAAGCUGUCUCAGUUCGGAUUGGGGUCUGCAACUCGACCCCAUGAAGUCGGAAUCGCUAGUAAUCGCGUAACAGCAUGACGCGGUGAAUAUGUUC